rnacentral:rRNA from 1 species
UGAGGAAUAUUGGUCAAUGGGCGAGAGCCUGAACCAGCCAAGUCGCGUGAAGGAUGAAGGUUCUAUGGAUUGUAAACUUCUUUUGUCCGAGGGUAAAAAAGGCUACGUGUAGCUUCUUGCAAGUAUCGGACGAAUAAGCAUCGGCUAACUCCGUGCCAGCAGCCGCGGUAAUACGGAGGAUGCGAGCGUUAUCCGGAUUUAUUGGGUUUAAAGGGUGCGUAGGUGGUUUGUUAAGUUUGUGGUGAAAGCGUGCGGCUCAACCGUACCAAGCCAUGAAAACUGGCGAACUUGAGUGCAAACGAGGUAGGCGGAAUGUGAUGUGUAGCGGUGAAAUGCUUAGAUAUGUCACAGAACCCCGAUUGCGAAGGCAGCUUACCAGCAUGCAACUGACACUGAGGCACGAAAGCGUGGGUAUCAAACAGG